ACCCCGGGAGGGGAGUGAAAGAGAACCUGAAACCCUGUGUCUACAAGCUGUGGAAGUACUUCUUAGGUACGACCGCGUACUUUUUGUAGAACGGUCCGGCGAGUUACGCUUACUGGCAAGGUUAAGCACUUCAGGUGUGGAGCCGUAGGGAAACCAAGUCUUAAGAGGGCCAGAGUCAGUAGGAGUAGACCCGAAACCGGGUGAUCUAUCCAUGUCCAGGUUGAAGCUGCCGUAAGAGGUAGUGGAGGACCGAACCCACAUCCGUUGAAAAGGGUGGGGAUGAGGUGUGGAUAGGGGAGAAAUUCCAAUCGAACCCGGAGAUAGCUGGUUCUCCUCGAAAUAGCUUUAGGGCUAGCCUCGAUACAGAUUUGCGGAGGUAGAGCACUGAAUUUCCUAGGGGGCGUCAAAGCCUACCGAAGAAUAUCAAACUCCGAAUGCCGCGUAAUCGAUUAUCGGGAGUCAGACUGCACGAGAUAAGUUGGGCGGUCAAAAGGGAAAGAGCCCAGACCUUCAGUUAAGGUCCCCAAGUGCGCGUUAAGUGGAAAAGGAUGUGGGAUUUCGAAGACAACCAGGAUGUUGGCUCAGAAGCAGCCAUACAUUCAAAGAGUGCGUAAUAGCUCACUGGUCGAGAGGUCCUGCGCCGAAAAUGUCCGGGGCUGAAACACGACACCGAAGCCGUGGACUCGCAAUGCGAGUGGUAGAGGAGCAUUCUUAAGACCGACGAAGCUGUACCGGAAGGAGCAGUGGAGGGAUAAGAAGAGAGAAUGCCGGAAUGAGUAGCGAGAGAAAGGUGGGAAUCCUUUCGGCCGAAUAUCUAAGGUUUCCAGAGUAAAGCUGAUCUGCUCUGGGUAAGUCGGGGCCUAAGCACAGGUCGCAAGACGUAAGCGAUGGAUAACAGGUUUAGAUUCCUGUACCACGCAUUAUCAGAACUGUAGGGACGCAUGUGGAAAGCACGGGCCGGGAAUGGAAAGACCGGUACAAGCGGGGUAGGUGUACAACAGGCAAAUCCGUUGUAUAAUCCGAAGACGUGAUGUGGAGCGAAAUAAAGUAGCAAAGCGUGUGAGCCAUGUGCCGAGAAAAGCUGCUAUUGUGUAAUGCGUGCCCGUACCGUAAACCGACACAGGUGGAUGAGGAGAGAAUCCUAAGGCCGGCGGAAGAAGCAUUGUCAAGGAACUCGGCAAAAUGGCCCCGUAACUUAGGGAGAAGGGGUGCCUGCGAGAGCAGGCCGCAGAGAAUAGGCUCAAGCAACUGUUUAGCAAAAACACAGGUCUAUGCGAAACCGAAAGGUGAGGUAUAUGGGCUGACGCCUGCCCGGUGCUGGAAGGUUAAGAGGAGAGGUUAGACGUAAGUCGAAGCUUUGAAUUUAAGCCCCAGUAAACGGCGGCCGUAACUAUAACGGUCCUAAGGUAGCGAAAUUCCUUGUC
rnacentral:rRNA from 1 species